GUGGUUGUGGCUCAGUAGUUGAGCAUUUACCUCGAAUGUGUGAGGCACUGGGUUCAAUCCUCAGCACCACA
rnacentral:tRNA from 1 species